GACGAACGCUGGCGGCGUGCCUAAUACAUGCAAGUAGAACGCACAGUUUAUACCGUAGCUUGCUACACCAUAGACUGUGAGUUGCGAACGGGUGAGUAACGCGUAGGUAACCUGCCUGGUAGCGGGGGAUAACUAUUGGAAACGAUAGCUAAUACCGCAUAAUAUUAAUUAUUGCAUGAUAAUUAAUUGAAAGGUGCAAUUGCACCACUACCAGAUGGACCUGCGUUGUAUUAGCUAGUAGGUGAGGUAACGGCUCACCUAGGCGACGAUACAUAGCCGACCGGGGAGGGUGGUCGGCCACACUGGGACUGAGAAACGGCCCAGACUCCUACGGGAGGCAGCAGGAGGGAAUCUUCGGCAAUGGACGAAAGUCUGACCGAGCAACGCCGCGUGAGUGAAGAAGGUUUUCGGAUCGUAAAGCUCUGUUGUAAGAGAAGAACGGGUGUGAGAGUGGAAAGUUCACACUGUGACGGUAUCUGACCAGAAAGGGACGGCUAACUACGUG
rnacentral:rRNA from 1 species